GAUGAACGCUGGCGGCGUGCCUAAUACAUGCAAGUCGAGCGAACAGAUAAGGAGCUUGCUCCUUUGACGUUAGCGGCGGACGGGUGAGUAACACGUGGGUAACCUACCUAUAAGACUGGGAUAACUUCGGGAAACCGGAGCUAAUACCGGAUAACAUUUGGAACCGCAUGGUUCUAAAGUGAAAGAUGGUUUUGCUAUCACUUAUAGAUGGACCCGCGCCGUAUUAGCUAGUUGUUAAGGUAACGGCUUACCAAGGCGACGAUACGUAGCCGACCUGAGAGGGUGAUCGGCCACACUGGAACUGAGACACGGUCCAGACUCCUAAGGGAGGCAGCAGUAGGGAAUCUUCCGCAAUGGGCGAAAGCCUGACGGAGCAACGCCGCGUGAGUGAUGAAGGGUUUCGGCUCGUAAAACUCUGUUAUUAGGGAAGAACAAACGUGUAAGUAACUGUGCACGUCUUGACGGUACCUAAUCAGAAAGCCACGGCUAACUACGUG
rnacentral:rRNA from 1 species